UCACAGCAAAAGCUUCUACCUGAUGGC
rnacentral:piRNA from 1 species